GUAACGGCGAGUGAAGCGGCAACAGCUCAAAUUUGAAAUCUGGCUCCUUCGGGGCCCGAGUUGUAAUUUGCAGAGGAUGCGUCGGGUACGGGUGCCUUCCGAGUUCCCUGGAACGGGACGCCAUAGAGGGUGAGAGCCCCGUCUGGUAGGACACCCAGCCCGUGUGACGCUCCCUCGACGAGUCGAGUAGUUUGGGAAUGCUGCUCUAACGGGAGGUAUACUCCUUCCAAGGCUAAAUACCGGCUGGAGACCGAUAGCGCACAAGUAGAGUGAUCGAAAGAUGAAAAGCACUUUGAAAAGAGAGUCAAACAGCACGUGAAAUUGUUAAAAGGGAAGCGCUCGCUACCAGACUUGGGUUCGGCGGUUCAACCGGGGCCACGCCCCGGGGCAUUCCGCCGGCCCAGGCCAGCAUCAGCUUUCCGUCGGGGGUAAAGGCGUCGGGAAUGUGGCUCCCCUUCGGGGGAGUGUUAUAGCCCGUCGUGUCAUACCCUUCGGGGGGCUGAGGUACGCGCUUCUGCAAGGAUGCUGGCGUAAUGGUAGCUAGUGACCCGUCUUGAAACACGGACCAAGGAGUCAACCUUAUGUGCGAGUGCCCGGGCGUAAAACCCCAGCGCGGAAUGAAAGUGAACGUAGGUGAGAGCUUCGGCGCAUCACCGACCGAUCCUGAUGUCCUCGGACGGAUUUGAGUGAGAGCAUAUAGGGUUGGACCCGAAAGAAGAUGAACUAUGCGUGUGUAGGGUGAAGCCAGAGGAAACUCUGGUGGAGGCUCGCAGCGGUUCUGACGUGCAAAUCG
rnacentral:misc_RNA from 1 species